rnacentral:lncRNA from 1 species
UAAAGGCCAAACUCGUAACUCAAAUAUUUUACCUCUAUGAUCAUAUCAUAGAAACUUUUAUAUUCUUGUUACGAUGAUUCUCCACUUCACUCUGAAAUUCUUUGAACUUUUCAAAUGUUUCAGGUUUGUGCUUCAUUAAGUAGAUAUACCCAUAUCUUCUCAAAUCAUGUGUGAAGGUCAGAAAAUAACGAUACCUGCCGUGGGCCUCAACACUCAUCGGACUGCAUACAUCAGUAUGUAUUAUUUCCAACAAGUCUGUUGCUCGCUCCAUUGUUCCGGAGAACGGAGUCUUAGUCAUCUUGCCCAUGAGGCAUGGUUCGCAAGCAUCAACUGAUUCAUAAUCAAGUGACUCCAAAAGCCCAUCGGCAUGGAUUUUCUUCAUGCGCUUUACACCGAUAUGACCUAAACGGCAGUGCCACAAAUAAGUUGCACUAUCAUUAUCAACUAUGCAUCUUUUGGCAUCAAUAUUAGGAAUAUGUGUAUCACUACGAUCGAGAUCCAACAAACUAUUUUCAUUGGGUGUAUGACCAUCAAAGGUUUUUUCAUGUAAAUAGAACAACAAUUAUUCUCUAAUUUUAAAUGAAUAACCGUAUUGCAAUAAACAUGAUAAAAUCAUAUUCAUGCUCAAUGCAAACGCCAAAUAACAUUUAUUUAGGUUUAACACUAAUCCCGAAAGUAUAGGGAGUGUGCAAUGAUGAUCAUAUCAAUCUUGGAACCACUUCCAACACACAUCGUCACUUCACCCUCAACUAGUCUCUGUUUAUUCUGUAACUCCUGUUUCGAGUUACUAAUUUUUAGCAACCGAACAAGUAUCAAAUACCUAGGGGCUACUAUAAACACUAGUAAGGUACACAUCAAUAACCUGUAUAUCAAAUAUACCCUUGUUCACUUUGCCAUCCUUCUUAUCCACCAAAUAUUCAGGGCAUUUCCGCUUCUAGUGACCAUUUCCUUUGCAGUAGAAGCACUCAGUUUCAGGCUUUAAUCUAGCUUUGGGCUUCUUCAUGGAAGUGACAACUUGCUUGCCAUUCUACAUGAAGUUCCCUUUAUUUCCCUUUGCCCUUUUCUUGAAACUAGUGGUCUUGUUAAUCAUCAACACUUGAUGCUCUUUCUUGAUUUCUACCUUCAUCGAUUUCAUCAUCAUGAAAAACUCGGGAAUCGUUUUCGUCAUCCCUUGCAUACUAUAAUUCAUCAUGAAGUUCUACUACCUUGGUGAUGGUGACUAGAGAAUUCUGUCAAUCACUAUCUUAUCUGGAAGAUUAACUCCCACUUGAUUCAAGCGAUUGUAGUAACCAGACAAUCUGAGCACAUGCUCACUGCUUGAGCUAUUCUCCUCCAUCUUUUAGCUAUAGAACUUGUUGGAGACUUCAUAUCUCUCAACUCAAGUAUUUGCUUGAAAUAUUAAAUUCAACUCUUGGAACAUCUCAUAUGGCCCAUGACGUUCAAAACAUCUUUGACGUCCCGAUUCUAAGUGGUUAAGCAUGGUGCACUAAACUAUCAAGUAGCCAUCAUAUUGAGCUAGCGAAACGUUCAUAAUAUCUGCAUCUUCUCCUGCAAUAGGUCUGUCACCUAGCGGUGCAUCAAGGACAUAAUUCUUCUGUGCAGCAAUGAGGAUAAACCUCAGAUCACGGACCCAGUCCGCAUCAUUGCUACUAUCAUCUUUCAACUUAGUUUUCUCUAGGAACACAUAUAAAACAUAGGGAAGCAAUAACGCGAGCUAUUGAUGUACAACAUUAUUUGUAAAAUACUAUCAGGACUAAGUUCAUGAUAAAUUAAAGUUCAAUUAAUCAUAUUACUUAAGAACUCCCACUUAGAUAGACAUCCCUCUAAUCAUCUAAGUGAUCACGUGAUCCAAAUCAACUAAACCAUGUCCGAUCAUCACGUGAGAUGGAGUAGUUUUCAAUGGUGAACAUCACUAUGUUGAUCAUAUCUACUAUAUGAUUCAUGCUCGACCUUUCGGUCUCCAGUGUUCCGAGGCCAUAUCUGCAUAUGCUAGGCUCGUCAAGUUUAACCUGAGUAUUUCACGUGUGCAAAACUGUCUUGCACCUGUUGUAUUUCAAUGUAGAGCUUAUCACACCCGAUCAUCACGUGGUGUCUCAGCACGAAGAACUUUCGCAAUGGUGCAUACUCAGGGAGAACACUUAUACCUUGAAAUUUAGUGAGAUAUCAUCUUACAAAGCAACCGUCGAACUAAGAAAAAUAAGAUGUAUAAAAUAUAAACAUCACAUGCAAUCAAAAUAUGUGACAUGAUAUGGCCAUCAUCAUCUUGUCCUUUUGAUCUCCAUCUCCAAAGUAUUGUCAUGAUCUUCAUUGUUACCGGCAUGACACUAUGAUCUCCAUCAUCUUGAUCUUUUAUCAACAUUUCAUCACAUGGUCGUCUCACCAGCUAUUGCUUUGGCAACUAUUUCUAUCAUAUAGCAAUAAAGUAAAGCAAUUACAUGGCACUUGCAUCUUAUGCAAAUAAAGAGACAACCAUAAGGCUCCUGCCAGUUGCCGAUAACUUUAACAAAACAUGAUCAUCUCAUACAACAAUUUAUAUCUCAUCAUGUCUUGACAAUAUCACAUCACAACAUGCCCUGCAAAAACAAGUUAGACGUCCUCUACUUUGUUGUUGCAAGUUUUACGUGGCUGCUACGGGUUGAGUAAGAACUGUUCUUACCUACGCAUCAAAACCACAAUGAUAGUUCGUCAAGUUAGUGUUGUUUUAACCUUCACAAGGACCGGGCGUAGCCACACUCUGUUCAACUAAAGUUGGAGAAACUAACACCCGCCAGCCACCUGUGUGCAAAGCACGUCGGUAGAACCAGUCUCGCGUAAGCGUACGCGUAAUGUCAGUCCGGGCCGCUUCAUCCAACAAUAUCGCCGAACGAAAGUAUGACAUGCUGGUAAGAAGUAUGACUUGUAUUGCCCACAACUCACUUGUGUUCUACUCGUGCAUAUAACAUCUACGCAUAAACCUAGCUCGGAUGCCACUAUUGGGGAACGUAGUAAUUUCAAAAAUUUCCUACGCACACGUAGGAUCAUGAUGAUGCAUAGCAAUGAGAGUGGAGAGUCUGUCCACGUACCCUCGUAGACCGAAAGAGGAAGCGUUAGAACAACGUGGUUGAUGUAGUCGUACAUCUUCAUGAUCCGACUGAUCCAAGUACCGAACGCACGGCACCUCCGAGUUCAGCACACGUUCAGCUCGAUGACAUCCCACGAACUCCGAUCCAGCAGAGCUUCGUGGGAGAGUUCCGUCAGCGUGACGGCGUGUUGGCGGUGAUGAUGAUGCUACCGACAUAGGGCUUUGCCUAAGCACCGCUACGAUAUGAUCGAGGUGGAUUAUGGUGGAGGGGGGCACCGUACACGGCUAAAAGAUCAAUCAUCAAUUCUUGUGUCUCCAAGGGGUGCCCCCGUCCCCGUAUAUAAAGGAGUGGAGGAGGGGGAGGGCCGGCCCUCUCUAUGGCGCUCCCUAGGGGAGUCCUACUCACACCGGGAGUAGGAUUCCCCCUUUCCUAGUAGAACUAGGAGCCCUUCCAAGUACUAGGAGUAGGAGAGAAGGAAAGGGAAACAAGAAGAGAAGGAAGGAGGGGGCGCCGCCCCUCCCCCUAGUCCAAUAAGGCCUAUAUACUCCCCGACGAAUUCUUGUAACUCUCUGGUACUCCGAAAAAUGCCCGAAUCACUCGGAACCUUUCCGAUGUACGAAUAUAGUUGUCCAAUAUAUCGAUCUUUACAUAUCAACCAUUUUGAGAUUCCUCGUCAUGUUCCCGAUCUCAUCCGGGACUCCGAACUACCUUCGGUACAUCAAAUCACAUAAACUCAUAAUACCGAUUGUCACUGAACUUUAAGCAUGCGGACCCUACGGCUUCGAGAACUAUGUAGACAUGACCGAGACACGUCUCCGGUCAAUAACCAAUAGCGGAACCUGGAUGCUCAUAUUGGCUCCCACAUAUUCUACGAAGAUCUUUAUCGGUCAAACCGCAUAACAACAUACGUUGUUCCCUUUGUUAUCGGUAUGUUACUUGCCCGAGAUUCGGUGGCCGGUAUCUCAAUACCUAGUUCAACCUCGUUACCGGCAAGUCUCUUUACUCGUUCCAUAAUACAUCAUCCCGCAACUAACUCAUUAGUUACAAUGCUUGCAAAGCUUAUAGUGAUGUGCAUUACCGAGUGCACACAGAGAUACCUCUCCGACAAUCGGAGUGACAAAUCCUAAUCUCGAAAUACGCCAACUCAACAAGUACCUUCGGAUUCACCUGUAGAGCACCUUUAUAAUCACCCAAUUAUGUUGUGACAUUUGGUAGCACACAAAGUGUUCCUCCGGUAAACGGGAGUUGCAUAAUCUCAUAGUCAUAGGAACAUAAGUCAUGAAGAAAGCAAUAGCAACAUACUAAACGAUCAAGUGCUAAGCUAACAGAAUGGGUCAAGUCAAUCACAUCAUUCUCCUAAUGAUGUGAUCCCGUUAAUCAAAUGACAACUCAUGUCUAUGGUUAGGAAACUUAACCAUCUUUGAUUUACGAGCUAGUCAAGUAGAGGCACACUAGUGACACUAUGUUUGUCUAUGUAUUCACACAUGUAUUAUGUUUCCGGUUAAUACAAUUCUAGCUUGAAUAAUAAACAUUUAUCAUGAAAUAAGGAAAUGAAUAAUAACUUUAUUAUUGCCUCUAGGGCAUAUUUCCUUCAUAUCAGUUCCCCAUCACAUGUUCAGAUUCCAAGGUGCAUUAAAUCAUUGCAUGCAAGUACUAAGAGAAAAUUGACCAAUGCAUGUACUUUAUGCAUGCAUGUAUUGCAAUUAAUACAUUGGUAAACAUAAUUUUUUUAGGAAAAGAAAAGCAUUGAUUGGGUGUUUUUGCAAACUACAAAAAGUAUUCCACCACUCACCAUCUACCUUGGUUGGUGUGAUUUUUGAAUUGAGCACUAUAAACCGAAAAGAAGGAGUAUGAUACUAGCUAGUCUAUGAUAUACUAGCUACCUCACUAAGAGCAUGGUUAAUAAUACAGCCAACUGUCGGCAAUAAGAAGUUGCCAUGUCAUAUACAGCCAACCUCUUAGCCGGCAUGUACAAUAAUAAGUUUUAAAUACGUAGUAGUUUAUCAAUAGUCGGCCCACCUUACAUCCUCACAAAGUGUCUUGGGUCUCGUGUUGCAGCUGGCUCUACUAACCAAGAGCUCGCUUCUCUUAUUUCUCCUCUUCUCUUUCCUACAACUAAUAAGCACAUAUAUAUUAUUCUAUUCCUUAUAGCCUGCUUAUGUCACUCUAUUGUACUUGCUCUAAGACUAGCCACAAUGGAGAGUAACAUACACUAGUAACAUACACAUAUCCCUAGACUAUGUUACUACCUUUCGUAGUGGGUAGUAACAUAAGUAUGGUAACAUGCAAAGCCUCAUUUAUUAGGUUAUAGACUCAUAUUGCAUUGAGACAUGUGAUGUUACAGUAACUAGCUAAGUUACUCAAACUACCUCUCUGCUCAUUAACUCGUUGCCACAUAAGCAAAUUUGUUUAGUUGGACUCGAUGUUAUUGCUGAAGUUACUCCCACUAUGGAUAGUCUAAUGCAUAGUAUCAUAGAGUAGUAUCAUAUGUAGUACUUUAUUUAUUGUCAUUCAUGACACAUACUCCCUCCUUUCCGGUUUAUAAGGCUUAUUUCAACUUUUUUGUUUUCCCAAUUUAGAGGGCUCAUCUCCAUCUCAUUUUUAGUUUCCAAUGCGCAUUAAAUCUUUGCAUGCAAUAAUUAAAGAGGAACACACCAAUGCAUGUAAUCUUCCUACUCAUCUAGUGGCCAAGCAUGCAUGCACUGCAAUUAAUCCAAAGUAAUGCAUGAGUUUAAUUGGGGUAGUUUUGUAAAGUAUGAGAUACAUUCCUCCACUCACAAAUGCCUUGGUUGAUGAGAUUUGAGAUUUGAGCCUUAUAAACUGGAAAGGAGGGAGUAGUAGCAUAGCAUUUAUUAUGAUACAGUUUCAUGAUAUGAUACUUAACCCUCUCUUUCUUCAUUUAAUUCUAUGACAGCUCAUCAAAAUUUCCUAGUUGGCAUGCAUGAUACUAGCUAUGAUACCCCCUUACUAUCAGCCUAGCAAAGAAGGUGUACAGAUCAUUUGUGCAUCACUUUGUGAGUUUUCAUCCGUUUGCUCGAGAAGCGGGGAGAACUUUCAAACAUUUCGGCCGCGAGGUGCGGCCACUUGCGUAGGCCCAGUUGGUAUUUUAAUUAUAGGAAAUUCAUAUGGAGUUCGGACAUCAUCAAAAUCGAUGUGUGCCCGUGGCAUGCUCUCACGACCCCAUGGAAAAAAUCGAUAAAGUUUGGCACAAGUUUUGAUGACCGCUACUUCCAAAUCGGAGCAUCUCACAUGAAGGAUCAUCGUUUCCAAAAGGAGACAUGUCAAUUCAAACUCCUGUGGCUAGUGACUUCAUCGUUUGUCCUCAUAAAAAUUUCCACGGUACGCAAUCACCAUUAUACCAUGGGUUUGAUUUUCUGGCGCAUUUCAGGUAUCGUUAGCUAUAUUUAAGACAUUUUUUGAGAUUAAUGUGCAUUUUGUGCAUAAAAAUAAAAUUACAACUAAAAAUGCAUGUGCUGUUGAAAGGGCUGAGGAUCGUCGUUCGAUCUGGGAGCAUCCAAUGGUGCAGACAUACGAUCCAUGGGGUUUGGGUUAUGGCCAAUCAGAAAGCAUGACUCGGAUCCUGGGAAGGGUUUGGUCGGCACACGGCUUUCAUCAACGAACCUUGUGUUAUUCGCAAACCAGAUUGCAUAUUUUUGUUCACACAUACCGUAGUCAGAUCAAUUGAGUGUGCUACCUCUAUGGUAUAAUAAUAAUAACAAAAAAUAGUUCAUAUUCAUUGCCUGAGCUGUCAACAUAUUAACGAUUCUUACAUCAACACAAAACCGGGCAUAAUUCACAAAUCUAGUACACGCGACAGUUCUAAAUUGAACGAAUUAAGUUGCAGGGUAGGCAUAAAGACUAGUCUUACGGCUUAAUUCCCAUGUACAUGGGGGAACUGGGAUCAUUACGUUGACCCCGAAUGAACUUGGGUUUUCUGAUGAUUUUACGCUUCUCUGUUACAUGGGUGCGUGAUCCCUUGGCUGGCAACUCAUCAAAUUCAUCGUACUCGGCCUCAUCGGCAACAUCGUCGACACCCAGUACCCUUCUCUUCCCAUGCAUCACUACAUGGUAGUUCUUAUGCAAGGGGUGUUCCACAAAGAAAAUCUGGGUAGCAUCGAUGGCAAGAAUGAAUGGGUCCGCGUGAUAUGCCAUUGUUGUCCUGUUAACACAGGUCUUCCUAUACUCAUCAAUCCUUACCUGACCAAGAGGGAUCCAUGCACACCUGAAUAAUGCCACCUGAACUUUCACAUAGUCAAGCUCCCAAAUCCCUUUGAUGGUUUCAUAGUAUACCAUUUUAUCAGCUUCAUUUACAGUCAUGCAUUCUGUUCGAACAGAGUUAUUCUGAUAUGAGGUCUUAUGAUCACGUUCCUGAGUGUAGAACGUGUAUCCAUUUAUGUCAUAUGCUUGGUACAUCAACACCAUAGGGGAUGGCUUUUGUGCCAACCACGUAGCAAUGUCAUCCAUGGAUCCUUGUGCCAAACGUAUCUCUGCGAAGUGUUCUUUGGCAUACGCACUAAGAACUGGGCUGUUAAACAGUACCUUCAAAUGGGCUUUCUCUGCCAAUUCUCCAGGUGCAGCCAUUUGCGUGCUAGCCAGGACCGGCUUACCUUUCAGCCUUUCCUCGUGGCGCGAGAGGGGCAAACCUAUAGGUAUUUGUUUCAUGUAUUCGGUGCAAAACUCAACCACCUCCACUGUGGUAUAACCUUGUAGGAUGCUUGCCUCUAGAUGGUUUCGGUUCUGACAAAAGUGCUUCAGUAUUCCCAUGAACCGCUCAAAAGGAUACAUGUUGCGAAGAAACACAGGACCACAAUACUUUAUCUCGUCAACAAGGUGCACAGUGAGAUGGACCAUGACAUCAAAGAAUGAAGGUGGGAAAAACAUCUCUAGGUUGGACAAUAUUCUUGCAAUAUCAUCUUGCAUAUGAUCCAACUCUUCAGGAUCUACAACUUUCUGCGAUAGUUGGUUGAAGAAUGUGUUUCUUAUAUCUUUGUCCAUCAGAUUCCUGAUGGACACCGGAAGGAUCUGUCUCAACAUUACGUGGCAAUCAUGUGACUUCAAUGUGUCCCAACUUCAUUUUACCUGAGCUCACAUCCAUGACACUUCUGAUGUUUGCGCAGUAGGAAGAGGGUGCCUUAACUGACAACAAAUAGGUGAAGAACUGUGUUGCUUCUUUUGUACUAAAAUUGUAACUCUGGCGAGCUUUGAUGAAUUUGUCAUCGUCUUCUGCUUCACUCUUGCAUUUUGAUUGAUCAGCAAGCAUAUCGAGCCAUGAACCGUCACCAUCCUUUCUUUUACCUUUAAUCUUGAGCAGAGUACCAAGGAUGCUUUCACAUACGUUCUUCUCUACGUGCAUGACAUCAAUGCAGUGACGUAAACGUAGAAUCUCCCAGUAAGGUAAUUUCCAGAACACCGAUUUCUUCUUGAACACUUGACCCUUGGGUGUUUGUUUCAUCGUCAAAGGGUGGUUCUUUCCAAGCACAACAUUAAUUGUUUUAGCCAUGUUGUGGACCAUCUCCCCUUCAUAGGUUCUUGGGCCCACAUCUGCCUCUGUCGUACCAUCAAAUUCAGUUUUCAUCUUUUGGUAUGGGUGAGUUUUCCGUAAGAACCUACGAUGGCGCAAAUACACGGUUUUGUGCGAGUCGGGAAGUCUUCUGCUAGCUGUCCUAUCCAUGCAUGUGACACACCCUACAUCUCCCUUUAUUUUCUGCCCCCAAUGUGUUGCCUAAUGUCGGCAUAUCUUGAAUGGUGUGCACCAGCAUCGCAUGUAGAUCAAAAAUCUCCUUUCUGUAAGCAUCAUAACAUUUUACAGCAGGCGCAUCUAUCCACACUGUCAACAGUUCUUCUACCAGUAGCUGAAAGUAAAUGUCAAUGCCAUUUCCAGGUUGCUUUGGGCCUUGGAUAAUCAUUGAUACCAUAGUGCAUUUUUUCUUCAUACACAACCAAGGAGCUAGGUUAUAUAUGUUGGGAAACGUAGUAAUUCAAAAAAAAUCAUAUGAUCAUGCAAGAUCUAUCUAGGAGAUGCAUAGCAAUGAGAGAGCAGAGUGUGUCUAUGUACCCUCGUAGACCAAAAGCAGAAGCGUUAAGUUAACGCGGUUGAUGUAGUCAAACGUCUUAACGAUCCAACAGAUCCAAGUACCUAGCAUACGACACCUCCGUGUUCAGCACAUGUUCAGCACGAUGACGUCCCUCGAGCUCUUGAUCCAGUUGAGGGUAGAGGGAUAGCUCCGUUAUCAUGACGGCGCGGCGACAGUGUUGGUGAUGUGAUCCGCACAGAGCUUCUCCUAAGCACUGCGACAACAUGACCAAGGUGGUAAACUGUGGAGGGGGCACCGCACACGGCUAAAGAACAAUUGGUGUGUUUUUGGGGUGCCCCCUGCCCUCGUAUAUAAAGGAGGAGGGGAAGAGGUGGCCAGAAUAGGGGGACGCGCCAAAGGGGGGAGUCCAACUAGGACGCCCAAUCCUAGUUGGACUCCCUUUCCUUUCCGGAAGGGGAAAGAGGGAAAGGAGAGGAAGAGGAGAAGGAAAGGGGGGUGCCCCCCUCCCUAGUCCAAUUCGACUCCCUAUAGGGAGGGGGUGCGGCUACCCCUUGUGGGCUGCCUCCCUCUCCCCUAUGGCCCAUGUAGGCCCAAUAUUCCCCCGGGGGGUUCCAGUAACCCCUCGGUACUUCGGAAAAAUACCUGAAUCACUUGAAACCAUUCUGAUAUCCGAAUACAACCUUCCAAUAUAUGAAUCUUUACCUCUAGACCAUUCUGAGACUCCUCGUCAUGUCCGUGAUCUCAUCCAGGACUCUGAACAAACUUCGGUCACCAAAACACAUAACUCAUAAUACAAAUCGUCAUCGAACGUUAAGCGUGCGGACCCUCCGAGUUCGAGAACUAUAUAGACAUGACCGAGACACAUCUCUGGUCAAUAACCAAUAGAACAACCUGGAUGCUCAUAUUGGUUCCUACAUAUUCUACGAAGAUCUUUAUCGGUCAAACCGCAUAAAAACAUACGUUAUUCCCUUUGUCAUCGGUAUGUUACUUGCCCGAGAUUUGAUCGUCGGUAUCAUCAUACCUAGUUCAAUAUCAUUACUGGCAAGUCUUUUUACUCGUUCCGUAAAGCAUCAUCCUGCAACUAACUCAUUAGUUACAUUGCUUGCAAGGCUUAUAGUGACGUGCAUUACCGAGAGGCCCAGAGAUACCUCUCCGAUACACAGAGUGACAAAUCCUAAUCUCGAUCUAUGCCAACUCAACAAACACCUUCGGAGACACCUGUAGAGCAUCUUUAUAAUCACCCAGUUAUGUUGUGACGUUUGAUAACACACAAGGUGUUCCUCCGGUAUUCGGGAGUUGCAUAAUCUCAUAGUCAGAGGAAUAUGUAUAAGGCAUGAAGAAAGUAAUAGCAAUAAAACUAAACGAUCAUAAUGCUAAGCUAAUGGAUGGGUCUUGUCCAUCACAUCAUUCUCUAAUGAUGUGAUCUCGUUCAUCAAAUGACAACACAUGUCUAUGGUUAGGAAACUUAACCAUUUUUUAUUAACGAGCUAGUCUAGUAGAGGCUUACUAGGGACACUGUGUUUUGUCUAUGUAUCCACCCAUGUACGAAGUUUCCGGUUAAUACAAUUCUAGCAUGAAUAAUAAACAUUUAUCAUGAUAUAAGGAAAUAUAAAAUAACAACUUUAUUAUUGCCUCUAGGGCAUAUUUCCUUCAAUAUAUGCACAGAAGUACCGGCCAUGUGCUGUGAUUGGUGCUCAUAUAGCCAAAAGGAUUCAUCCUGUCAGUACACUCCCCGAGCCUUAUACUUCUAGGAUCCUUGGCUAAGUCUACAUACUUGUUGUCGAUUAAUUCCCACUGAGCCCCAUCUUUCAGGUGCCUCGUAAACUUAUCCACAAUUCACUCAUCAUGAUGCCACCACAACCUCUUUGCCUCUCUAGGGUUUGCAAACAAACGCCUCAACCUUGGAAUUGAAGGCAGGUACCAAACAACCUUGAACGGGAUUCCUGUCUUGAUCUCGUUGUCCAAUUUGUACUUGUCUUUUGCUCUCCUGCGCUUGUAUCAUGCAUGCUUGCAUGUGGGACAUGCACGCAAAUCUUUGUACUCACCACGGUAGAAUAUACAAUCAUUCACAGAAGUGUGUAUCUUCUGUACUUCAAGUUCCAAUGGCCAAACAAUUUUCUUUGCUUUAUUCGUGCUUCUGGGGAGCACAUUAUCUUCCGGAAGAAUUUCUUUGAAAAGACCUAACAUCUCUAUGAAGCCCUUGUUUGAUGGACUGUUUGCUGCUUUAAAUCUGAGAAGUGCCAGGGUAGCACUCAACUUGGAAUAUUUCUAUUUGCAACCUGGAUACAAUUCUUUCUUGGAGUCCGCAUCAAUGGUUGGUAGAUCCUUGUACCCAAUCAUAUCCUUUUUUGGGCCCUCGAAAUCUGCAAUCAUAGUAGCAAAAUCUGGCAUAUCAAGAUCUUCGUCAUCUGCGUCGACGUCUUGGUUUUCCAGUGGGCGUUUCGGGUUUCCGGUGUUUCUUUGGUAGCUUGACGCCUCUGCCCCGAUGUUAGAUUCAACAUCCUAUUGGGGAACGUAGUAAUUUCAAAAAAACUCCUACGCACACGCAAGAUCAUGGUGAUGCAUAGUAAUGAGAGGGAAGAGUGUUGUCUAUGUACCCUCGUAAACCGUAAGGGGAAGCGUUAUGACAACACGGUUGAUGUAGUCGUACGUCUUCACGAUCGACCGAUCCCAGCACCAAAGGUACGACACCUCCGCGAUCUGCACACAUUCAGCUCGGUGACGUCCCGCGAGCUCACGAUCUAGUAGAGCUUCAAGGGAGAGCUUCGUCAGCACGACGGCGUGAUGACGGUGAUGAUGUUGCUACCGGAAUAGGGCUUUGCCUAAGCACCGCUACGAUAUGACCGAGGUAGAUUAUGGUGGAGGCGGGCACCGCACACGGCUUGGAACAAUCAACUUGUGUGUCCUAGGGGUGCCCCCCUGCCCCCCCCCCCCCGUAUAUAAAGGAGCAAGGGGGAGGUCGGCCGGCCCUAGUGGCACCCAAGGAGAGGAGGAAUUAUACGUCCAUUUUGCAUCAUGCUUUUAUAUCGAUAUUUAUUGCAUUAUGAGUUGUUAUUGCACAUUAUGUCAUAAUACUUAUGACUAUUCUCUCUUAUUUUACAAGGUUUACAUGAAGAGGGGGAAUGCCAGCAGCUGGAAUUCUGGGCUGGAAAAGGAGAAAAUCUUAGAUACCUAUUCUACACAGCUCCAAAAGUCCUGAAACUCCACGAGAGUCAUUUUCAAAAUAUAAAAAAAAUAUCGGGCGAAGGAAGCACCAGAGGGGAGCCAUCCACCAUCCACGAAGGUGGGGGCGCGCCCCCCUACCUCGUGGGCCCCCUGGCAGCCCUUUGGUUCCCAUCUUCUUCUAUAUGAGGUCUUUCACCUAGGAAAAAUCAUAAGCAAGCUCAUGGGGCGGAACUCUGCCGCCACGAGGCAGAACCAAUCUAGGGCUCCGGCAGAGCUGUUCUGCCGAGGAAACAUCCCUCCGAGAGGGGGAAAUCAUCACCAUCAUCAUCACCAUCAAUCCUCUCAUCGGGAAGGGGUCAAUCUCCAUCAACAUCUUCACCAGCACCAUCUCAUCUCAAACCCUAUUUCAUCUCUUGUAUCCAAUCUUUGUCUCAAAACCUCAGAUUGGUACCUGUGGGUUGCUAGUAGUGUUGAUUACUCCUUGUAGUUGAUACUAGUUGGUUUACUUGUUGGAAGAUCAUAUAUUCAGAUCCUUUAUGCAUAUUAAUAUCCUCUGAUUAUGAACAUGAAUAUGCUUUGUGAGUAGUUACGUUUGUUCCUGGGGACAUGAGAGAAGUCUUGCUAUAAGUAGUCGUGUGAAUUUGGCAUUCGUUUGAUAUUUUGAUGAGAUGUAUGACGUCUUUCCUCUGGUCGUGUCAUGUGAAUGUCGACUACAUGAAACUUCACCAUUGUUUGGGCCUAGGGGAAGGCAUUGGGAAGUAAUGAGUAGAUGAUGGGUCGCUAGAGUGACAGAAGCUUAAACCCUAGUUUAUGAGUUGCUUCGUAAGGGGCUGAUUUGGAUCCAUAUGUUUCAUGCUAUGGUUAGGUUCACCUUAAUACUUCUUUUGUAGUUGUGGAUUCUUGCAAAAGGGGUUAAUCAUAAGUGGGAUGCUUGUCCAGGGAAGGGUAGUACCCAAGCACCGGUCCACCCACAUAUCAAAUUAUCAAAGUACCGAACGUGAAUCAUAUGAGCGUGAUGAAAACUAGCUUGACGAUAAUUAGCAUGUGUCCACGGGAGGGUUUUCCUUUAUAUAAGAGUUUGUCCAGGCUUGUCCUUUGCUAUAAAAAGGAUUGGGCCAUCUUUCUCCAACUUAUUUACUUUUGUUACUUGUUACCCGUUACAAAUUACCUUAUCACAAAACUAUCUGUUACCGAUAAUUUCAGUUCUUGCAGAGAAUACCUUACUGAAAACUGCUUAUCAUUUCCUUCUACUCCUCGUUGGGUUCGACACUCUAACUUAUCAAAAGUACUAUGAUAUAUCCCCUAUACUUGUGGGUCAUCAAGACUCUUUUCUGGCACCGUUGCCGGGGAGUGAAGCGCCUUUGGUAGGUGGAAUUAGGUAAGGAAAAAAAUUAUAUAGUGUGCUGAGAUUUAGUGUCACUUGUUACUAUGGAACAUAAUCCUUUGAGGGGCUUGUUCGGGGUAUCUUUACCCCGACCAGUAGAGCAAAUAGUUGCUCCUCAACCUACUAAACCUACUGAAAAUGUUUACUUUGAAAUUCCUUCGGGUAUGAUAGAGAAACUGCUGGCUAAUCCUUUUACAGGAGAUGGAACAUUGCAUCCCGAUUUUCACCUGAUCUAUGUGGAUGAAGUUUGUGGAUUAUUUAAGCUUGUAGGUAUGCCCGAGGAUGUUAUCAAGAAGAAGGUAUUCCCUUUAUCUUUGAAGGGAAAGGCAUUGACAUGGUUUAUGCUAUGUGAUGAUAUGGGAUCAUGGAACUACAACCGAUUGAAAUUGGAAUUUCAUCAGAAGUUUUAUCCUAUGCAUCUUGUACAUCAUGAUCGUAAUUAUACAUAUAAUUUUUGGCCUCGCGAAGGAGAAAGCAUCGCUCAAUCUUGGGGGAGGCUUAAGUUAAUGUUAUAUUGAUGCCCCAAUCAUGAGCUCUCAAGAGAAAUUAUUAUUCAAAAAAUUAUGCUCGGCUUUCUCUUAAUGAUCGCUCCAUGCUCGAUACUUCUUGUACUGGUUCUUUUAUGAUGAAGACUAUUGAAUUCAAAUGGGAUUUAUUGUAGAGAAUUAAAUGCAACUCUGAAGAUUAGGAUCUCGAUGAAGGUAAGGAGACAGGUACAACCCCAAAGUUUGACUGUGUUAAAUCUUUUAUGGAUACCGAUGCCUUUCGUGAAUUUAGCACUAAAUAUGGACUUACUCUGAGAUAGUAGCUUAUUUCUAUGAAUCCUUUGCUACUCAUGUUGAUGUCCCUAAGGAGAAGUGGUUUAAAUAUAAUCCUACCAUUGAAGUAAAAGUAGUUGCACCUAUUAAAGUUGAAGAAAAGACUAUCACUUAUAAUGUUGAUCCUGUUGUUCCUACUGCUUAUAUUGAGAAACCACAUUUCCCUGUUAGAAUAAAGGAUCAUGCUAAAGCUUCAACUGUGGUUCAUAAGAGUAAUACUAGAACACCUACACCCUCUAAGAAAAUUAAAGUUGAACCUAGUAUUGCUAUGGUUAAAGAUCUCUUGGUCGAUAAUAUUGAUGGGCAUGUCAUUUACUUCUGUGAUGAAGCUGCUAGAAUUGCUAGACCCGAUACUAAAAAUAAACAUAGACCUGUUGUAGGCAUGCCUGUUAUUUCUGUUAAAAUAGGAGAUCAUUGCUAUCAUGGCUUAUGUGAUAUGGGUGCUACCACAAGUGCAAUACCUCAUUCCUUAUACAAAGAAAUUAUGCAUGAUAUUGCACCUGCUGAGAUAGAGGAAAUUGAUGUUACAAUUAAGCUUGCCAAUAGAGACACUAUUUCACUAGUUGGGAUUUUUAGAGAUGUUGAAGUAUUGUGUGGGAAAGUUAAAUAUCCAGCUGAUUUUAUUGUUCUUGGUUCCCCACAAGAUGAAUUUUUCCCAUUAUAUUUGGUAGACCCUUCUUGAAUACUGUUAAUGCUAAGAUGGAUUGCAAAAAGGAUGUUGUUACUAUUGGUUUGGGGGAUAUCUCUCAUGAGUUUAAUUUUGUAAAUUUUGUAGACAACCCCAUGAUAAAGAAUUGACUGGUAAAGAUGAAAUUAUUGGUCUUGCUUCUAUUGUCGUUCCUCCCAAUGAUCCUUUAGAACGGUAUUUGCUCGACCAUGAAAAUGAUAUGUUUAUGAAUGAAAGAAGGGAAAUAAAUGAAGUAUUCUUUAAACAGGGACCUAUUUUGAAACACAACUUUCCUGUUGAAAUUCUAGGGGAUCCUCCCCCGCCUAAGGGUGAUCCCGUGUUUAAGCUUAAUUAAACCUUUGCCUGAUACUCUUAAAUAUGCUUAUCUUGAUGAGAAAAAGAUAUAUCCUGUUAUUAUUAGUGCUAACCUUUCAGAGCAUGAAGAAAAGAAAUUAUUGGAAACUCUAAAGAAGCAUCGUGCUGCUAUUGGAUAUACUCUUGAUGAUCUUAAGGGCAUUAGUCCCACUCUAUGCCAGCACCAAAUCAAAUUGGAGAAAGUCGCGAAACCGGUUAUUGAUCACCAACGACGGUUAAAUCCAAAGAUGAAAGAAGUGGUAAGAAAAGAAACACUAAAGCUUCUGGAGACAGGUAUAAUUUAUCCCAUUGUUGACAGUCAGUUGGUAAGUCCUGUCCAUUGUGUCCCGAAGAAGGGAGGUAUUAUUGUUGUUCCUAAUGAUAAAGAUGAAUUGAUCCCACAAAGAAUUGUUACAGGUUAUAGAAUGGUAAUUGAUUUCCGCAAAUUAAAUAAAGCUACUAAAAAGGAUCAUUACCCUUUACCUUAUAUUGAUCAAAUGUUAAAAAUAUUAUCCAAACAUACACAUUUUGCUUUCUAGAUGGUUAUUCUGGUUUCUCUCAAAUACCUGUGUCAAAAGAGGAUCAAGAAAAGACAACUUUCACUUUCCCUUUCGAUACCUUUGCUUAUAGACGUAUGCCUUUUGGUUUAUGCAAUGCACCUGCUACCUUUCAAAAAUGUAUGACUCCUAUAUUCUCUAAUUUUUGUGAAAAGAUUGUUGAGGUUUUCAUGGAUGAUUUCUCCGUUUAUGGAACUUCUUUUGAUGAUUGCUUAAGCAACCUUGAUCGAGUUUUGCAGAGAUGUGAAGAAACUAAUAUUGUCUUGAAUUGGGAGAAGUGCCACUUUAUGGUUAAUGAAGGUAUUGUCUUGGGGCAUAAAAUUUAUGAAAGAGGUAUUGAAGUUGAUAAAGCUAAAGUUGAUGCUAUUGAAAAGAUGUCGUGUCCUAAGGACAUUAAAGGUAUAAGAAGUUUCCUUGGUCAUGCUGGUUUUUAUAGGAGGUUCAUUAAGGACUUCUCUAAAAUUUCUAGGCCUCUGACUAAUCUCUUACAAAAAGAUGUUCCUUUUGUCUUUGAUGAUGAUUGUGUAGAAGUAUUUGAAAUACUUAAGAAAGCUUUGAUUUCUGCACCUAUUGUUCAACCUCUUGACCGGAAUUUACCCUUUAAAAUUAUGUGUGAUGCUAGUGAUUAUGCUGUAGGUGUUGUUCUAGGACAAAGAGUUGAUAAGAAAUUAAAUGUUAUCCAAUAUGCUAGUAAAACUCUAGACAGUGCCCAAAGAAAUUAUGCUACUACUUAAAAAUAAUUUUUAGCAGUUGUAUUUGCUAGUGAUAAGUUCAAACCUUAUAGUGUUGAUUCUAAAGUAAUUGUUCACACUGAUCAUAUUGCUAUUAAAUAUCUUAUGGAAAAGAAAGAUGCUAAACCUAGACUUAUCAGAUGGGUUCUCUUGCUACAAGAAUUUGAUUUGCAUAUUAUUGAUAGAAAGGGAGCUGAGAACCCCGUUGCAGACAACUUGUCUAGGUUAGAGAAUGUUCUUGAUGACCCACUACCUAUUGAUGAUAGCUUUCUUGAUGAACAAUUAGCUGUCAUAAAUGCUUCUCGUACUACUCCAUGGUAUGCUGAUUAUGCUAUUUAUAUUGUUGCUAAAUUUAUACCACCUAGUUUCACAUACCAGCAAAAGAAAAAGGUUUUCUAUGAUUUAAGGCAUUACUUCUGGGAUGACCCACACCUUUAUAAACAAGGAGUAGAUUGUGUUAUUAGAUGUUGUGUACCUGAGCAUGAACAGGAACAAAUCUUACGCAAGUGUUACUCCGAGGCUUAUGGAGGACACCAUGCUGGAGAUAGAACUGCACAUAAGAUAUUGCAAUCCGGUUUUUAUUGGCCUACUCUCUUCAAAGAUGCCCGUAAGCUUGUCUUAUCUUCUGAUGAAUGUCAAAGAAUUGGUAAUAUUAGUAGAUGUCAAGAAAUGCCUAAGAAUUAUUCACUUGUUAUUGAACCAUUUGAUGUUUGGGGCUUUGAUUAUAUGGGACCGUUUCCUUCCUCUAAUGGAUAUACACAUAUUUUAGUUGUUGUUGAUUAAGUUACUAAGUGGGUAGAAGCUAUUCCAACUAGUAAUGUUGAUCAUAACACCUCUAUUAAGAUGCUUAAAGAAGUUAUUUUUCCGAGGUUUGGAGUCCCUAGAUAUUUAAUGACUGAUGGUGGUUCACAUUUUAUUCAUGGUGUCGGGGAUAUACCCCGCGGUAUGACCCGGCCGAAAGUAUGACCUGGCCGGGCUUGGCGUUUUCAUUGGUAACCCACCGGAGUGGCGACUCACAAGCCUGGUGACUCACGGAUGGCCCUAACGGCAAGUCAGAUAGAAGACUAGGCCCAAGGCCCAGAAGGCCGGCUCAUGUUAUGAUGGGCCGGCUUAAGAGGAAAGGGAUGACGAAUAUUUCCUUUAAGAGGAAGCAAGACCCGGACUUGUAUUCAACUUGUAAGAGAAGAUAGACUAGUCCUAGUCCUACUAGGACUCCACAUGUAACCCGCCCCUCCAACUUAUAUAAGGAGGGGCAGGGCUUCCCAAGAGGGACAAGCAACAAGAAACAAUCUCUAGGGCUAGACACAAAGGAGGAGCCGGCUUAUGCGCCGACUCUCUCAUGAGUAUAAUGAGAUCUAGCCACAGACAGUAUGUAGGGCUAUUACCGGAUGAUGUUUCCCAGGGCCCGAAGCUGUCUAAAUCAUUGUCUUGUGUUGCGUCUCUCGAUUCCGCUCAACCCCUCUCAAGCUACUACAAAGAUGCGUUGGUCUCACGACUAAGUCCUCACACUAGGACAUCUGUCGUGACAAUUCCACGACAGUUGGCGCCCACCGUGGGACUCGCGCACGGUGGUGUUGAGUUCUUGGAGGGAUCUCUCUUAAGGUUUGAGAAGUUCGGAAUUUUUGGAUGAAGAACAGAUUGGAAAGGAUAUACAUCGUCUUUAAGUUCGAGAGUCAAGAUCACGAAAAGAAAAAAAUUGCGCCGUCCGUGGGACCUUUACGCGCCGGAGUUGUGGCUUCGUCGACUUCAACUUCAGCGAGAUCGUAUCCUGCCGGUUCAUCCGUUUGGGCGUGCACAAACUUCGUCAUCGGCAAUGGUUGUGAUUUUGAUAGGAGAUGUCCUGAUAUUUCAUUGUUUAAAACAUCAUAUCAAUCAGGGCGUAUAUGGUCUUCAAUGUCCGAUGAGACGAGGCAUCAAUCUCUAGUGAAAAUCGAAGGAGGAAUUUUCUUUCGCAUGAUUAAUCGAUGCAAGAUCGGAUCGAUCUCCGGUUUCCAAAACUACAAGGCAAAAGGCUACGGCGUCGGGUCACACGCGACUGUCACGAUGUCUCCAGCAGUCAAAAAAGAAAAAAGAAAAAAGAAGGGGAACAGCCCAUGACCCGUAAGUGGAUUGGGACAGGAGACUCGGUCUCCUCCAUCGAGCCGGUCUCGCCUUCACCGAUCUCCGUGAGCCGCCGUGGCCGCGUGGCCUCACCCUGCAGCCUUCGCUGAGCUGCUUUGCCGCGUUCCACGCGCCGCCGCGGAUCCUGCGGAUCCACGCUGCCGCGGACCCCCUCGCCGUCCUCUCUACGACGUCCGCGUCGCCUCCAUGCUCCUCCUGACGCACUUGCUGGCCACGGGCUGCAAAACCACCUCACCGUGCCCGAGCUCCGCCACUUGCGAGCACACCCGCCCCCAUCGUGACUCGCCGCGUCGCGCUACCGCCGUGGCCUCGCCCUGCUGGCCAGUGCAUUUCCGCCGCACUGAUGCACUGAGACGCCGCGGUCAAACUGCCUCGCCCCGAGGCGGCCUGUUCCACAGUGGCCGAUCUCACACAGUUUCUGCUGCGAGCCGCUGUUUGCCUCUGCAAUUCUCUGUGAGCCGCUGCUCGAUUCUGUAGAGAGCCGCCUUGGCCUUACUCCGCCUCGGACCCGCCAGGUCGUUGCGACCGUGUCUCCGCUGCAUUGAGUUGCCCUGACCACGCCAAGCCACCUCACUGCACCGUACGCGCCUCUGCUGGUUGAGCCGUCGUCUUCACUGCAACCAAGUCACCGUCGCGGCCUAUUAAAAGUUUACAGCAGGAGAGUCGCCACCACGCUCCAACUUGGUCUUUCACUUGCCGGUGGGCUGUUCCGCGCGUGACCCUGUUUCUGGGUUACAUUCACUUUGAGUUGCCCUGUCUGAGCCGCUCUAUCGUUGACCGCUGAUUUUUUUGGCUAUGAACCGGCCCCUGAGCCAACGUUGCCGCUGCAGGCCCCGCUUGCCUCGCUGGAUCUCCUUUGCCUCGAGCCGCGGCAGUUCACCUCCACAGCUAUACCUGGCCAAAUCUCGGGCUUCGGGCCGGGCUUCAGGCCGGGCCAACAAAAACCCGGCAUCUACGGGACAGGCCCGAGCCCGGCCCGGCCCAACGAAUUGAUACGUUUUCCAGGCCCGAGCCCAGCCCGAGGCAAAGCCCGAAAGCCCGAAGCCCGGCCCAACGGCCCGACAUAAUUCAACAAAAACAAGUCAGUAUAGCAAAAAACAGAAGAAAACUAAGCUAUACAGAACAAGAUACUAAUAUUUGGACAACAAAACAUACACCUAUCACUUAUCAGCAAUUUGCAGUAGUAAACAGCAGCAAAUCAACACUAUUUUUGACAGCACAACAUCAUAGUUUACAGCAAAACAAUAACAGAACAACAUCCAAGUGUUCCAGUUUCAACAACAGCAAAACAACAGCAUUACAUCACUAUUUUACAGCACAGCAGCAUAGUUUUAUAGCAAAACAAUAACAGAACCCCAUAUAAAUGUUUCAGUUUCAACAACAGCAUUACAUUACAAGUUUUGACAGCACAGCAGCAUAGUGUUUGAGCAAAAGAAUAGCAGAACCACAUAUAAAUGUUUCAGUUUCAAGUCUUUCGACAUCUAAAUGUUCUAGUUACAACAAACACAAGUGCAUGAAUAAUAUUACAGUCCAUAACCAAAAUAAGACUAGUAGUUUGUUGGCUGCCAUCUCGCCAUGCCUUCUCUGAACCUUCUUCUCUUCUCAUUGCUCUAGCAACAACUCUAGAGGAUGGAAUGAAGAGAAAGUUAGCGGUAGUAUAAAGACAACUUGACAAUUGACAUGAACAAAGAAUAUAGAUGUUACAUUCUUCAUCCGAAGAUGAAUCUUCAUCAUUAUCUAGCACAACCACUUUUGCCUUUCUCUUAUUAUCUACAACAAUAGAUUGGGUUAAUUAUCAUUUGGAAGUAAAACAUACAAAUAAGAAUGUGAAACAAACAAGAUUACAACACAUACCUUCUUUUUUCUGCAGUUUGCAACGAUACCAAUCUUGCAAACACAUUAGGGCCUCAACCGUCUUUGGUUUAAGUGAG